rnacentral:lncRNA from 1 species
GGAGACAUUCCCUAGGCAGAGCAUGCAGGCUCCCAAGUCAAGCUCCAGGCUGCCUCCUCGACGUCUCAUCCGAGAGAAUGGGCUCUGAUCUCUCUGCCUUCUCCACAGCCUGAUCCAGGCUGACAGUUUCCAUUCAUGCAGUCUGGUGAUGAAGACUAGGCUUCUCCCCCCUCUUGGAAGUGUCAGUUCCUCUCUUGCUUCCUCGGGCAUAGCUGGUUGAAUUGGUCUUGUCACCAAUGGAUGCCUGCUGCACAAGACCUCAGACAUUCACCUUCAAGGUGCUUUCUUCCUCUUGGCCUCAUUUUGCAGUGUUUUAGGCAUUGAGGGCUGCAAAGGCAGGAUAGUCUCUGUACUCGGGUCCAGGAAUAUCUCUAAGGCUGCACUGUGCAGUGUCUCAGACUGCUGAACAGCUUUCUGCCCCAGCUGCCAGUCUUCAUCCUUGGCUCCCAGCUCUGGCUGAACUGGCGGAGCCCGCGCUAGAGUCCUGUAUGAUCCGUAUGACUGGUGUGAUGGUGGAAUCUGCUGUUGCUUCCCAGGGACUCUCAAGGACUCAGUGACAUGUCCACAGGCUCUCAUCCAGCCCAGAAACCGCAGGCAAACUGAAAGAACACCACUGGCUAUUCCAAACAGAAGGCCUCCCGUGGAUCAGACCCGUGGAGCUCAUGAAAACAAAGUGCCUUCUUCCUCGUUCUCGGUGAUUUGCAGGCGAGUGAUGCUGGUUCAGACUCACGGAGAGCGACACGGGAAAGCCGAGACUCUGGGAGACCGAGUGUUGGAAAGCAAAGGUCAGCCUCUCUGUGUGGGAGUCCCCCCUAACCCCUGAGUGGAGGGGCAUUAUCG